GCAUAUCUCAAUCCAAAAAAAACAAACCAAACCAAACCCCACCCCCCAACACAAAUAAAAAAGGCAAGAAAAAAAGCCUCUUCUCCUUUCAGUCUUUCAAAUGUUCAUUUAUUUUCUUAGCAGCCACAUUCAUGCUUAUGUUUACUUUCGGACUUACGCCUAUCGAAAAAGGUAAAAAUCAAUUUCUGCAUCAUCCAAGGUUCCACUUCAUUGAUAUGUUUCAGCCAAUUCAAAUAUGAAGACAUUUCAGAAAUGCAAUGUACAAGGCAUGACUUUUAGAAAUGGAUUCUGAAUUGCCAAGGUUACACAGCUUCCUUUUUCCAAGUUCAACCUUUACACAACCUUUUGUAUCACCAUAAGAAGUAUAUGGUAGUCAAUUUCUAUUUGGAAAAUGUGUAUCUAUAAAAAAAUUUGUCAUGUAAGCUAGCAAACUCAUUAGCUUGCAUGUUCAAUAAAAUCACUAAGAUUAUAACAUAAUUAACUGGCAUGUAUGAUAUGCAUUUGUUUAUUCAUUAUGUAAGAAUACUAGUAUUGAAUGUGAUCUAAACUUUCAUUCAAUAAUAAGAGAAGAGAGACCAUGCAUUAUAUAGGACAAGUGACAGACCAUUAGAGCAUAAUUGAACUUGAGUUCAUGAAUGUUGAGAAGUUCAACCAUGAUGUGUGAAUCAGAUACCUAUCAAAUAUUAAAGCCCUCAAAGGUCUUUCUGCAGUAUCACAGGAUGGGGGAAUCCUUAACUAAGGUAGUACCUAGGGUCCCUUAAGGUAGUACCUAAGGGCCAUUAAGGUAGUACCUAAAGGCUCUUAACGUAGUACCUAAGGUACAGUCCCAAAAAACAAAGGGUGGACAACUUUAGCACACAAGAGAAGCACAUAAUGGCAUGGUAUAAGGGUCACAAAGGAAGGCUCGAGACUUGGGAGAGGUAGAAUUCAAGUUUAGUUAAGGUAGUGCCUAAGGUCCCCUAAGGUAGUACCUAAGGGCCAUUAAGGUAGUACCCAAGGGCUCUUAAGGUAGUACCUAAGUUACAGUCCCAAAAAACCAAUGGUGGACCACUUCAACACUGAAGAGAACCACAUAAUGGGAUGCUAUAAGGGUCACCAAGGAAGACCCGAGGCUUGGGAGAGGUUGAGUUCAAGUUUACUUUAAGGUAGUACCUAGGGUCCCUUAAGGUAGUACCUCAAGGUCACUAAGGUAGUACCUAAAGGCCCUUAAAGUAGUACCUAAGGUACAAUCCCAAAAACCCUUUGGUGGACCACUUCAACACUCAAGAGAACCAUAUAAUGGGAUGCUCUAAGGGUCACAAAGGAAGACUCGAGGCUUGGGAGAGGUUGAGUUCAUGUUUACCUUAAGGUAGUACCUAAGUUACAGUCCCAAAAAACCUUUGGUGGACCUCUUGAGCACUCAAGAGAACCACAUAAUGGGAUGCUCUAAGGGUCACAAAGGGGAACCCAAGAAGCAAAAUCCGGGAGAAAUUUGUUCCGGUUCACAUAUGAGUCUGUUGAGCUGGCCCAAGGGGAAGGCAUUUUCGGUAUGAAAUAACACCUCGGACCAGAGUGCAUGAAAAGGAAAAAUUUUCUUGAAAUAGUGGACAUAUCUUGGGUUAUGCAAACUUGGGUUUUGAAAACAAUAUUAUUGGGAAAUGGGGCCCCAAAACACAACUUUCCCUUCAUAAUUCCUGUGUUCAUGGUGUACUUCCAUUUUUGCUAGACACCUUCUAAUAAAAUUUUAUUUUCCUAUUAACAAAAAA
rnacentral:lncRNA from 1 species